GGUUGUUUGGCCGAGCGGUCUAAGGCGCCUGAUUCAAGAACUCAGGAAUCGUAAGAUGCAGGAGUUCGAAUCUCCUAGCAACCA
rnacentral:tRNA from 1 species